GGCCGUAUGGCCCAAUGGUUAAGGCGCCUGACUACGAUUGCAGUAAAUCAGGAGAUUCCAGGUUCGAAUCCUGGUUCGGUCA
rnacentral:tRNA from 1 species